UAAACCGAGGUGUGUGGAAUCAAACUCAGAUCCUCUCGCUUGCGAGACAAGUACUCCAAUACUCCAAGGACUUCUUCACUGUCCCUCAACCUUCCCGCAAAGCUACAGCCUUUCACAACAAUUUACAAUAUAAUGUCUUAAGAGACCAGCUUUACAAAGACUUAAGUGGAAGCCUGGCUAGAGAGUUAGCUGGUGGGACAAGGGAAUGGAGGGUGGACACGAGUACGAUCGAAGAGCCUUGUCGAUGUCCUGCAAAAUGGAGCGAGCAUCAUCCCCUUCAGUAAAAUCAUGUUAGCGAGGGAAAAGAACAUAGGAGUAAGGCAGAGAAAAUAGUCCCAAGUGCAGUGUGCUUUCAAAGGACUUGUAUCUGCGGAAGCACAGAGCUCACAGUUGAGAGAAGAAAUGAACUGCGAUGCAUGGUAUUAAAAGUAUUUUAAUAUUUUCGAAAAAAGAGCAGUGGAGGAAAAAAUGCAAAGGUUUAAAAUAUUUCAAAUAAAUGGUGGGAGGCCAACUGGA